rnacentral:rRNA from 1 species
GGGGGGGUGCUAUACAUGCAAGUCGAGCGCGGGAAGCGAGUGGAUCCCUUCGGGGUGAAGCUCGUGGAACGAGCGGCGGACGGGUGAGUAACACGUGGGCAACCUGCCUGUAAGAUCGGAAUAACUCCGGGAAACCGGGGCUAAUGCCGGGUAAUACUUUCUUUCGCAUGAAGGAAAGUUGAAAGAUGGCUUCUUGCUAUCACUUACAGAUGGGCCCGCGGCGCAUUAGCUAGUUGGUGAGGUAACGGCUCACCAAGGCGACGAUGCGUAGCCGACCUGAGAGGGUGAUCGGCCACACUGGGACUGAGACACGGCCCAGACUCCUACGGGAGGCAGCAGUAGGGAAUCUUCCGCAAUGGACGAAAGUCUGACGGAGCAACGCCGCGUGAACGAUGAAGGUCUUCGGAUCGUAAAGUUCUGUUGUUAGGGAAGAACAAGUACCGUGCGAAUAGAGCGGUACCUUGACGGUACCUAACGAGGAAGCCCCGGCUAACUACGUGCCAGCAGCCGCGGUAAUACGUAGGGGGCAAGCGUUGUCCGGAAUUAUUGGGCGUAAAGCGCGCGCAGGCGGUUCCUUAAGUCUGAUGUGAAAGCCCACGGCUCAACCGUGGAGGGUCAUUGGAAACUGGGGAACUUGAGGACAGAAGAGGAGAGUGGAAUUCCACGUGUAGCGGUGAAAUGCGUAGAUAUGUGGAGGAACACCAGUGGCGAAGGCGACUCUCUGGUCUGUUUCUGACGCUGAGGUGCGAAAGCGUGGGUAGCAAACAGGAUUAGAUACCCUGGUAGUCCACGCCGUAAACGAUGAGUGCUAGGUGUUAGGGGGCUUCCACCCCUUAGUGCUGAAGUUAACGCAUUAAGCACUCCGCCUGGGGAGUACGGCCGCAAGGCUGAAACUCAAAG